rnacentral:lncRNA from 1 species
UCUGGUAUCAAUUUUUUUAGAUGUUGAGCUUCCUCAGUUGCCUGGCACGAAAAGAAAUAAUUUAAAAUUUCUUUAAUGGUCAUUAUAGAGAGAUUUCAGUCAUUAUUAACAGUUGACAAUUAGUAAACACCUAAUUCCUUCAUCAAUUCAAGAUUUUCGACUUUUGAAAGCAUCACUUGGAAAUUAGAAUGCAACUCAUUUGUGUUUGACGAUCACUUGCAUCUUUUUCUAUUUGGUUGACUCUUAUGCUUUCUCUUUUUCCACUAUUGUUUGUAUAUCUUUUAUUAAAAUCUUUGUCAAUUUUGUACUUCUUUCUUAUAAUGAAGUUGUUUUAACCCCACACCCACUCCACAAAAUUGUUAGAAACUUGGUCUUGUAAAAUCUUAAUCUUGACAUGUUGAAUAUAACACUAAAAAAGUAAAAUCUACCUCCUCUAUCGAAACAUCUAGUGUUGGCCUCAAUAUUUUAGUGUUGGCCUCAAUAUUUGUUAGUCUUAAGACUAUAUUCAAAGGUAGUUUCUAAGUGUAGGCACCCCAAUUCUUACACUAACAAUAAUUUCCAAACAUUUGUUCUUGCUGGUGAGCUAUCUCUCAUGUCAGCUAUCUCUGCUGGUCAACUGGUUAAAAGUCAUAUGAAAUAUAAUAGAUCUAUCAAAGAUAUUUCCCAAAUAAUCUCUUCCUCUUAGUGACUGUGAGGAUUAAUUAGCACCCCACUUGAUCAUGUACAUCACCACCCCUACUAUUUCUAUAUUCCAAUAAUAAAUAAAAACAUGGGAGUAAAAUUUUCACAAUUAGGAGGGAGAUCUAGAAGCAGAAGAAGUAAUUUGAACCAAAAUAUAAUAUAAAGUAAUAAUCCUAAAUCAUCCCCUAUUAUUUUAUCCUCAUUUUCUCCUAAAUUAUCCUCUCUCCCUCCCACAAAAUUACAAUGAAAAAAGUUGAAGAAAAAAAGAGACAAUUAAAGUAGUGUUUAAAGGAGUAUUAUCAGAUCUGGAACCAUAUCAUUUUAAGUUGUUUCUAAAAAGAAAUCAAAGCUUUAUUUUUUUAUGGGCAAGGAUUUUUCAAUAAAUGAAUAAAAUCACCAUGGAAAAAAUAAACUUGCCUUAUAAAUUGACUUCUGCGAUGGCGAGCUUGUGCGACGGCGAGCUUCUGCGACGGCAAGCUUGUGCGACUGAGAGUUGCGACACCCUUUGCUCUUUGCUGCUGCCGAACUCUGUGCGCUGCUGCUACAGCCCUCUUCUGCUGCGACCUACUGCUGAGGCUGCGCCAUUCAGGGAUGGUGGCGUGGCGCUAGUCAG